rnacentral:rRNA from 1 species
UACAGAGGGUGCAAGCGUUAAUCGGAAUUACUGGGCGUAAAGCGUGCGCAGGCGGUUUUGUAAGUUUGUCGUGAAAGCCCCGGGCUCAACCUGGGAAUUGCGAUGAAGACUGCAAGGCUUGAAUCUGGCAGAGGGGGGUAGAAUUCCACGUGUAGCAGUGAAAUGCGUAGAGAUGUGGAGGAAUACCGAUGGCGAAGGCAGCCCCCCUGGGAUAACACUGACGCUCAUGCACGAAAGCGUGGGGAGCAAACAGG